rnacentral:snoRNA from 1 species
GACUUUUUAUAGUUUAUAAGCAUGAUGAUUGGAUGUUCCUCUGUGUGUGUGUGUGUGUGUGUGUGUGUGUGUGAGAUGUGCCAUCCACAAACCUUGUUAUGAAGUCAGCACAUUGUGCAUCUGACA